rnacentral:lncRNA from 1 species
AAUAUGGGAGCACUACACCAAAUUUCUCACUAGAGAUGACCAGCAUAGCAACAUCUUUUAGUGUCUCAUUAUGCCCUAGACCUAUUCAGACACACCAGAUCAAGCCUUUUUUUAAACCUUCUCGAGUAUAAUUACUCAAAACAAUGCUUGACCCUUACACCAUUACCGUGAUGUAUUUAUGAUUAUAUCACUAUAUGCUAUAGCAUCAUAAUCUGUCGACAGCAAAUACACUCACUGAUGUGUC